rnacentral:tRNA from 1 species
GUCGGGGUGGCGAAAUGGUAUACGCGCAAGCUUGAGGGGCUUGUGGUCGCAAGACUGUGGAGGUUCAAGUCCUCUCCCCGACACCU